rnacentral:tRNA from 1 species
CGAAGGAUAGCUCAGUUUGGUUAGAGCAGAUGAUUGUUACUCAUCGGGUCGCGGGUUCGAUUCCCGCUCCAACGC